AGCGUAGCUCAGUGGUAGAGCAUCACGUUGCCAACGUGAUUGUCGAGGGUUCGAUCCCCUUCGCU
rnacentral:tRNA from 1 species